rnacentral:lncRNA from 10 species
AAGUUAGGCAGCAUGGAAAACAGAAACAGAAAACUUGGAUUCUAACGAUCCAUACCUGAUAGUAAUGCUAUAGGUUAAAUGAGAGAAAAAUAGACAGCAUAUAGCACAUGACACAUAGGAAGUAUUCAGUAACUAUUAACUGUUAAUAUCAUUAUCAUCAUCAUUGCUAGAGAGCACUUCCACUUCUCCCCUUGGGUCCCUGCUCUAAGUCUUUGCAUCUUUGCUCUUCUGGUUUUGUCACCUGGCUUCUGAAAAUUCUUUAGGCCAAAAACUCCCUAGAAGCAGGGUUCAAGAUGGGAAUUCUUAUGCACGUGAUCUAUUCAGGGAGUACUUCCAAGAGAAAUCUAUAAGAAAGUGAGAGAAAUAGGACAGAGAAGGGGAAAAAACUCUAGGCAAAGAUGUGGUUUCAGAUGAAAUCUAUCUUUAUUCUUCAUCCUUACCCUCUGGAGGGUAAACUGUACCACAGAGCCUGCCCUAUCUUAAGAUGAAGAAAUGAAUCC